rnacentral:rRNA from 1 species
AUUGAACGCUGGCGGCAUGCCUUACACAUGCAAGUCGAACGGCAGCACGGGGCAACCUGGUGGCGAGUGGCGAACGGGUGAGUAAUGCAUCGGAACGUACCUUUCAGUGGGGGAUAACGUAGCGAAAGUUACGCUAAUACCGCAUGUUCUGUGAGCAGGAAAGCAGGGGAUCGCAAGACCUUGCGCUGAUUGAGCGGCCGAUGUCAGAUUAGCUAGUUGGUGAGGUAAAGGCUCACCAAGGCGACGAUCUGUAGCGGGUCUGAGAGGAUGAUCAGCACCACUGGAACUGGGACACGGUCCAGACUCCUACGGGAGGCAGCAGUGGGGAAUUUUGGACAAUGGGGGCAACCCUGGUCCAGCCAGGCCGCGUGAGUGAAGAAGGCCUUCGGGUUGUAAAGCUCUUGCGGCCGGGAAGAAAUCGCACGGGCUAAUACCCUGUGUGGAUGACGGUACCGGAAUAAGAAGCACCGGCUAACUACGUGCCAGCAGCCGCCGUAACAC